rnacentral:lncRNA from 1 species
AUUUUCUUGUCAUCGUCAUUCAUAUUUAAAUAUGUAAAUGGCUAUUUUUGGAUUUAUUUUAACUUUGAUAUAAAUGAAAAAUAAAUUGAAUAUGUAUGUACAAUACGUUUCCCUUGUUACGGCCCCCGUAUGUACAUUUGAGCACAAUUGAAUGUGCUUAAUUCAUACUUACUGAUUUCAUACCCCAUAGUGCAACCAGUGUCUGCUGGUCUGUACUUGCCAUAAACACAAUUAUGUGUUAAAGUUCUUAGUUUAAU